AACGAACGCUGGCGGCAUGCCUAACACAUGCAAGUCGAACGAGACCUUCGGGUCUAGUGGCGCACGGGUGCGUAACGCGUGGGAACCUGCCCUUAGGUUCGGAAUAACUCCCCGAAAGGUGUGCUAAUACCGGAUAAUGUCUUCGGACCAAAGAUUUAUCGCCUUUGGAUGGGCCCGCGUUGGAUUAGCUAGUUGGUAGGGUAAAAGCCUACCAAGGCGACGAUCCAUAGCUGGUCUGAGAGGAUGAUCAGCCACACUGGGACUGAGACACGGCCCAGACUCCUACGGGAGGCAGCAGUGGGGAAUAUUGGGCAAUGGGCGAAAGCCUGAUCCAGCAAUGCCGCGUGAGUGAUGAGGGCCUUAGGGUUGUAAAGCUCUUUUACCCGGGAUGAUAAUGACAGUACCGGGAGAAUAAGCUCCGGCUAACUCCGUG
rnacentral:rRNA from 1 species